UACGAAGGGGGCUAGCGUUGCUCGGAAUUACUGGGCGUAAAGGGCGCGUAGGCGGCUCUGUUAGUCAGGCGUGAAAGCCCUGGGCUCAACCUGGGGACUGCGCUUGAUACAGCGGGGCUUGAGGGCAGGAGAGGCUCGCGGAAUUCCCAGUGUAGAGGUGAAAUUCGUAGAUAGUUGGGAAGAACACCGGUGGCGAAGGCGGCGAGCUGGCCUGUUACUGACGCUGAGGCGCGACAGCGUGGGGGAGCAAACAGG
rnacentral:rRNA from 1 species